UGCAGUGAUCUGGGCAAAAAUCAUAGCAAACCACUGCCACGGGUUCAUUACAGGGGGCAACAAGGUGACUAUGACAUCCUGGUCAUGGAUUUGCUUGGACCGAGUUUACAAGUUCAGUUGGUCAAUAACCGCCCAUUCAUGCCAUUGGCGUCAGUUGCUUGUGUUGCUGUUGAGGCAAUCUCUAUUCUCAAGAAGCUGCACUCUAGAGGGUACAUUCAUGGGGACGUAAAACCUGAGAACUUUUUGCUCGGUCCUCCAGGAACUCCUGAUGAGAGAAAAUUGUUCCUGAUUGACCUUGGAUUAGAUAUCUGCAGUUGCAUAUACAGAUCUAUAUUGUAAGAAACAGCAAUUAGAAUACGAUCUGUCUCAUUGUUGCUUCAUCAUUCACAGCUAUGAGAUGGUGAGAUCAUUCUAGCAGUUCGCAUAUUAGGUACCAUCAAUCUCCAGACCAUUUCAGGUGGGGUCCAAGUGGUUUUUACCAUCUUUACACACAAUGCCCAGCCUAAUGAGCCUCCGCUCACAAAUAUACAACAAAUUAACCAUUCACUGCAGAGGAACGCCUCAUUUCGCGAGCGUGCAUGCUCAUCUUGGUAGAGCAAGUAGCCAGAGAGAUGACCUGAGUCACUAGCAUACAUGCUCCCUUUCCUUUUCCACGGCCAUUUGCCUUGGCAUGGAUUUCAGGUUUUGCUUUGCUUAAAACCAGGAAGAUGAUUUUCAACCUUACAGAUGAAUAUGCCUUCUUAAUCACUGCAGCUGUUUCAGGCGGACAAUAUGCCUAUGCUUGUAUGCAGGAGAAAGAUGGCCACUCCUUUGGAAGCUCUUUGUCACUCUUGCCCUCCGCCUUUCCUGCACUCUGCCAGGUUUGCAGUAAAUUUGUGAUUUGAUGAAAAUCCAAACUGUGCAAGAUAUAUUUCUCUGUUCCGUGGGAUAAUUGAUCAAAACCCAUACGUUUGGCCUGUGAAUGCUGAUGCUGCUCGUGAGGUGCCAUCUUAUUCCUCUAAAUAUGUGUCUUUUGCAGUUUCUCCAGAAGCAAGAUGUUUGUUAAAUUCUCAGAUCGGAACUCGUUCUCUAUGUGAGCCAUAUCUUUCUCUUUGUUUUGACAUGCAUUUUGUCAGUCAAAUGAAGGCGGCGUGCCAACAAAGAGCUUACUAACACGAGGGGGGUUGAUGAGAUUACAAUGGAUAAGCAUUUUCCACGAACAUCCACCCAUGAGGCAAAGAUUAGGACUUAAAGUGACUUACCCCUCACAGUUCCUUCUUUUUCAGUACAUCGAGUUUAUUUUCGGAUCAUCGCACCUCAAUUAUUGACUUUAAUUGUCCUGUGGACGAUAAAGAUGAAGUGUUCAUCAUCCCAUCCACCCCUUUCUCUGUGAAGGAUUUGCUACAAUGGGGACAAUGUGAACCUACCUUUAUUCAUUGAGGAGGCACAUGCAGAUGAAAUGUAUGUUAGCAGUGUGGCUUCCCGCUUCAAUUUGUGGCCUGUGGUUAUGGAUUCUGGCACUAGCUUCACUGCUCAAGUUCAGACUAUUUCGCCCGAGUUUCUUCCCCAGGUUGCAUCUGAGCUGCCCUAAAUUGGACUUUCAUCAUACACUGUAGGUCCCCAUAGUCCCACGUCACUAUUCUUCUAACAAAUUGCAUCAAUGAAAAGAGGUACUCGACCUAAAAGGAACCAACAAUACAUUUAACCCAAUCGAUGGGAUUCCCAAUUGGGCGUGACUUGACUGCUUGAUUUUGUUGUUGAAGAACUGGAUUAGGAGACAGUGGGCAAGGAAUUACCACAUCACUGCAAUCGCUGGAGCAGAUAAUGGUAACACAUUAGUUGUAAUGUCCAAGGGACCCCAAAACUUUUGCCAAUCUUAUCACAUCACCAAUACAUUCCCUCACGCGAGGAUUUAGAGGAAAUGGGCAGUUGGUACUUGCCAUGGCCACUCUGGGAAGUAAGGGGGUAGUCAUCAUGUCCUCUGCCACCGGAUUCAUCCACCAGGUUGUAGAGCUAGAUUUUCAGUACCCGUGUGAGGCAAUUCAUGAAAGGUGGAAGCAAGGCUACUUCAUCACUUCAGUUGCAGCUACUCCAGAUCAGGUAGCUUUUAUCUUCAGCAUUCCAGGAGAAGUACCAGUUAGAGGACCCCAACAGGCAGCCCAGGCUUCACAUUUUCCUGAAACAGUGGUGGCGGUGAUUAUAUUUGGUCAUUUUGCAAGCAUCUAACUUUUGGUUGCAUUUGCUAUGAUUCUAUGAGAUUCAUAUGGUUCUGAUUCCCAUCUUUUGCAGGAGAGUUGGCCUAGGAAUUACUACAUGUCCCUUCUUUGCUACAGCAGACCUGCUUCGUGAACCACCAAAUAUGGUGUGUGCGCAUUUACUGGUGUCUUCAUGAGUCGUUGACGUGCUCAACAUGCAGUUUUUGCCCUUUAUAUCCCGACUUAUGGGAAGCAAGGGUUAACAAGCCACCGAUCGAUCAUGUACAGAUAUGAACCCACUUCCCCUGGCACUGAAUAGAAUUGAAACUGACCAAUUCUUGUUUUACUUGUGUGCAUGUUUGCGUUAAAGUUUCGCACAUUUGUCACGCUUUUGAAACGUUUUAAGAAUAAUAGUAGGCCACAAUCCGGUAAUGAGAAUGAUGCAAUCUGUA